GGAGAAUUACUCAAGUGGCUCAAGAGGCUCCCCUGCUAAGGGAGUAGGCCGGGAAACUGGUGCGAGGGUUCGAAUCCCUUGUUCUCCGCCA
rnacentral:tRNA from 2 species